AGAGUACAGGAUCCCUAUUUCCACUGAGGAGAGGGAAGCAGCUCUGAGGAUAUAGGCCCUUCUCUGAGCCAACCUCUGGCCCUUGGCUCCUCUGCCAUUUCUCAGCCAGUCCUGAGUCCUGGACUCUCAUCUGCCCUUGCUGGGACCACUGCCUCACUUCCUCCCCUGACCUUUCUGUCUGUGCUCAACACCGCAGUCAGGCUGACCUGCACACCAGUGGAAUCCGCCCCUGCUCUGCUCAGAACUCUCCAACAGCUCCAGUGGCCUCAGAUUCAAAGGCAGGGUACUGGCAGCCUCUGUCUUGGGUGGGCGAACGCAUGGGUGGAUGGACAGAUGGAUGAAUGUGACCAAAUGAAGGCGUCUUCCUGCAAGUUCCGUCUUCAUGGUCCGCAGUGCUCCCCGUGGCUGAGCAUGCCCUCAUUCUUGAGCCACCCGGACUCCACUGCCGCCCCAUUGGCUUCCUCCUUGCCAGCCACCCCUUCCUGGUCUUGUCUGACUCACCCUCACCAUGUUGACCUGUGAGUGUGUGAGCCCAAGGCCCCCGGAGGAGUCUUCAUCCGUGUUCCACCAAGUCAGCC
rnacentral:lncRNA from 1 species